ensembl:ncRNA F49E2.8 ncRNA
GGCGAGCGUACAACCAAGUUCAUGAAACGACGCAGUGCGGCAGGCACCUAUUGAAAAAGCGUUGUGCAAGUGAUAAGAGCCCCGACUUUGGUAUGCUGCGUGCGUUUGAUUAUGUACAUUACCCG